GAAUGCUGACAUAAGUAACGAUAAAGCGGGUGAAAAGCCCGCUCGCCGGAAGACCAAGGGUUCCUGUCCAACGUUAAUCGGGGCAGGGUGAGUCGACCCCUAAGGCGAGGCCGAAAGGCGUAGUCGAUGGGAAACAGGUUAAUAUUCCUGUACUUGGUGUUACUGCGAAGGGGGGACGGAGAAGGCUAUGUUAGCCGGGCGACGGUUGUCCCGGUUUAAGCAUGUAGGCUGAUUGUCCAGGCAAAUCCGGAUAAUCAAGGCUGAGGUGUGAUGACGAGGCACUACGGUGCUGAAGUAACAAAUGCCCUGCUUCCAGGAAAAGCCUCUAAGCAUCAGGUAACAU
rnacentral:rRNA from 1 species